CAGUCUAUCAGACAGUAUUAUAUUAUAAUGUUCCAGGUAUCCAGUCUAUCAGACAGUAUUAUAAUGUUCCAGGUAUCCAGUCUAUCAGACAGUAUUAUAAUGUUCCAGGUAUCCAGUCUAUCAGACAGUAUUAUAUUAUAAUGUUCCAGGUAUCCAGUCUAUCAGACAGUAUUAUAUUAUAAUGUUCCAGGUAUCCAGUCUAUCAGACAGUAUUAUAUUAUAAUGUUCCAGGUAUCCAGUCUAUCAGACAGUAUUAUAUUAUAAUGUUCCAGGUAUCCAGUCUAUCAGACAGUAUUAUAUUAUAAUGUUCCAGGUAUCCAGUCUAUCAGACAGUAUUAUAUUAUAAUGUUCCAGGUAUCCAGUCUAUCAGACAGUAUUAUAUUAUAAUGUUCCAGGUAUCCAGUCUAUCAGACAGUAUUAUAUUAUCAUGUUCUAGGCAGAGUUCCUCUGUCCAGUCUCAACGUCAACAGUGAAGAGGCGACUCCGGGAUGCUGGCCUUCUAGGCAGAGUUCCUCUGUCCAGUCUCAACGUCAACAGUGAAGAGGAGACUCCGGGAUGCUGGCCUUCUAGGCAGAGUUCCUCUGUCCAGUCUCAACGUCAACAGUGAAGAGGAGACUCCUGGAUGCUGGCCUUCUAGGCAGAGUUCCUCUGUCCAGUCUCAACGUCAACAGUGAAGAGGCGACUCCGGGAUGCUGGCCUUCUCGGCAGAGUUCCUCUGUCCAGUCUCAACGCCAACAGUGAAGAGGAGACUCCUGGAUGCUGGCCUUCUAGGCAGAGUUCCUCUGUCCAGUCUCAACGUCAACAGUGAAGAGGAGACUCCGGGAUGCUGGCCUUCUAGGCAGAGUUCCUCUGUCCAGUCUCAACGUCAACAGUGAAGAGGAGACUCCUGGAUGCUGGCCUUCUAGGCAGAGUUCCUCUGUCCAGUCUCAACGUCAACAGUGAAGAGGAGACUCUGGGAUGCUGGCCUUCUAGGCAGAGUUCCUCUGUCCAGUCUCAACGUCAACAGUGAAGAGGAGACUCCGGGAUGCUGGCCUUCUAGGCAGAGUUCCUCUGUCCAGUCUCAACGUCAACAGUGAAGAGGAGACUCCGGGAUGCUGGCCUUCUAGGCAGAGUUCCUCUGUCCAGUCUCAACGUCAACAGUGAAGAGGAGACUCCGGGAUGCUGGCCUUCUAGGCAGAGUUCCUCUGUCCAGUCUCAACGUCAACAGUGAAGAGGAGACUCCGGGAUGCUGGCCUUCUAGGCAGAGUUCCUCUGUCCAGUCUCAACAUCAACAGUGAAGAGGAGACUCCGGGAUGCUGGCCUUCUAGGCAGAGUUCCUCUGUCCAGUCUCAACGUCAACAGUGAAGAGGAGACUCUGGGAUGCUGGCCUUCUAGGCAGAGUUCCUCUGUCCAGUCUCAACGUCAACAGUGAAGAGGAGACUCUGGGAUGCUGGCCUUCUAGGCAGAGUUCCUCUGUCCAGUCUCAACGUCAACAGUGAAGAGGAGACUCCGGGAUGCUGGCCUUCUAGGCAGAGUUCCUCUGUCCUGUGUCUGUGUGUGUUGGUGUGUGUGUGUUGGUGUGU